GACGAACGCUGGCGGCGUGCCUAAUACAUGCAAGUAGAACGCUGAAGGAGGAGCUUGCUCUUCUGGAUGAGUUGCGAACGGGUGAGUAACGCGUAGGUAACCUGCCUGGUAGCGGGGGAUAACUAUUGGAAACGAUAGCUAAUACCGCAUAACAGUAGAUGCUGCAUGACAUUUGCUUAAAAGGUGCAAUUGCAUCACUACCAGAUGGACCUGCGUUGUAUUAGCUAGUUGGUGGGGUAACGGCUCACCAAGGCGACGAUACAUAGCCGACCUGAGAGGGUGAUCGGCCACACUGGGACUGGGACACGGCCCAGACUCCUACGGGAGGCAGCAGUAGGGAAUCUUCGGCAAUGGACGGAAGUCUGACCGAGCAACGCCGCGUGAGUGAAGAAGGUUUUCGGAUCGUAAAGCUCUGUUGUAAGAGAAGAACGAGUGUGAGAGUGGAAAGUUCACACUGUGACGGUAUCUUACCAGAAAGGGACGGCUAACUACGUG
rnacentral:rRNA from 1 species